UGAAACUACCGCGUUUCUUAACUCAACUAGUUUGAUUCUGAAUAUAGUACAUCACUUAGUUCAACUACUCAGUUCAAUACCAUUCAUAGGGUUUACUCCACCUUAAAAUCGUGUCAUUCUUGAUUCUUGAAGCUCCAAUAACUCUCCCUAGCAACUGAUUGUGCAAUUUGAUCGGAAGAGAUGGGUGGGUUUGAGUUAAGAUGGGUUGUAAGAGUAACUGUUGUACUAAUGAUGGUUCCAAAGAUUCUUGGUUGGGGAAAAGAAGGACACUAUGUUAUCUGCAAAAUUGCUGAGGAAUAUCUAACAGAAGAUGCUUUAGCUGCAGUCAAAGAGUUACUCCCAGAUCAAGCUGAAGGUGAUCUUGCAGCUGUCUGCUCCUGGGCCGAUGAGGUUAAGCACCACUACCCGUACUACCGCUGGAGUUCUCCAUUACAUUAUGUAGAUACCCCUGAUUUCUUGUGCAAUUACAAAUAUUGCCGUAAGUGACACUGCUUAUAUGUAAAUAAACAUAAAUGUAUGAGUAACAUAUAUUUGAUUUUUUUUUUUAACUUACAUCCAAAUUUGAGUGGUGAUCAGGAAAAAAAAGUCCUGAAAGCUAACUUAGUUUUGUCUUAUUUUCUUUUCUGUGUGCAGCCUCUACAUGUUGGUUUCACUGGAGAUGUUGGUGGAAACACUAUAGUAGUCCGUUGGUACAGGAGGAAGACUAAUUUGCAUCAUGUAUGGGAUACCAUGAUUAUUGAAUCUGCAUUGAAGACAUACUACAAAUCUGACCUCACGUUAAUGAUACAAGCUCUUCUGAGAAACAUCACUGAUGAAUGGUCCGAUGAUGUUCCAUCUUGGGAAAAUUGCAAGAAGAUGGUCUGUCCUGACCCGUAUGCUUCUGAAAGUGUCCGUUUGGCCUGCAAAUUUGCCUACAGAAAUGCAACUCCGGGAAGCACUUUAGGAGACGAUUACUUCCUUUCUCGGCUUCCUGUUGUGGAGAAGAGGUUAGCGCAAAGUGGGAUCCGCUUGGCCGAAGUUCUCAACAGAAUUUUCAGUAAGCAACCAUUUGCUGCACAAUGAAGAUAACAGCGAAGUAAUGAAGAUAAACUGCAGAAGAAAGUCACAAGUAGGGGACCACGCAAUGCAACUUCUUUCGUAACUUGGAGUUUCCCACACUUCAAGAAAUGAAGCCUACCUAAAAUGCCUUAUAAGUCAACCAUUACUUAAAAAGGUGUAAUAAAAUGUACCUUCAAAUAUACAAGUCACCACAUGUGGUAGAUGCUGCAGUCACAUUAGAAUAUGCUCUAUGUUGCUUUUAUGAAUAAUCUACUUCUAUUUACUUAAGAUAGGAGGAACCGUUAGCUUGUACACAAUAAGAACUAUAUUGAACAUUUUGUAUAUAUAUAUAUAGAACAAGCUCAUCUUAGUGGGACAUUUCUGUUUC